AGUGAACGCUGGCGGUAGGCCUAACACAUGCAAGUCGAACGGCAGCACAGUAAGAGCUUGCUCUUACGGGUGGCGAGUGGCGGACGGGUGAGGAAUACAUCGGAAUCUACUUUUUCGUGGGGGAUAACGUAGGGAAACUUACGCUAAUACCGCAUACGACCUACGGGUGAAAGCAGGGGAUCUUCGGACCUUGCGCGAUUGAAUGAGCCGAUGUCGGAUUAGCUAGUUGGCGGGGUAAAGGCCCACCAAGGCGACGAUCCGUAGCUGGUCUGAGAGGAUGAUCAGCCACACUGGAACUGAGACACGGUCCAGACUCCUACGGGAGGCAGCAGUGGGGAAUAUUGGACAAUGGGCGCAAGCCUGAUCCAGCCAUACCGCGUGGGUGAAGAAGGCCUUCGGGUUGUAAAGCCCUUUUGUUGGGAAAGAAAAGCAGCAGGUUAAUACCCCGCUGUUCUGACGGUACCCAAAGAAUAAGCACCGGAUAACUUCGU
rnacentral:rRNA from 1 species